rnacentral:lncRNA from 1 species
AAAGAAAUAGCUGUAAUUAGAUAUCUAUUUGAUCUUUGAUGACUGAAUACUAGAAGAUGUUAAAUUGAAUAAAACAGUUUUUUUCCUCUCAG